ACCACACUAAUGCAUCACCGAUUCACCUUGCUGCUAAGUGAUUGCCUAUUCAGUACCAGUGCUUGUUACCCACUAUGCAUUUUGAUUUGUUUAAAGCAUGAUCAAACAAGCAAACGACGGAAUGCUUUUUCUGAAACAAGACCUUAACUUUGUGGCGCAUGGGUCGCUUUGUUUACUUGAGGGAUCAGCUACCGCAGUGUAGCAUUAUGAUGCUAACGGAGUCCUGGCUAACACCGCAAACUCCGGACAUGAGUGUGGAGCUGCCCGGUUUCCAGAUGCUGCAGGCGGACAGGACGAGAGACAGCGGUGAGAGGAAAGGAGAGGGACUGGGCAGUGUUUGUUAAAGACAGUUGUGGGACCCCUGGGCACAUUGCUGUGAAAGAACAACUCUGCAACAGAGACAUUGAGCUAUUAGCCGUUAGCAUCCGUGGAGGCAGCCUGUGACUCUCUGUGGUCCGCAGACUGCAAACGCAAUCUCCGAGAGCUCUUCUUCUAAUAUCAGGGGACUUUAAUCAUGUCUCGCUGGACUCCACACUGCCCACCUUCACCCAGUAUGUGACCUGCCCCACCGUAGGCAAUAAAACAUUGUACUUAAUGUAUGCCAAUGAAAAAGUGGCAUACAGUUCAUCACCUCCCUCUGCCCAGGGAAGAUCUGAGUGCGCCUUGUCCCUGUGUGCAGCACUUAGUGUGCAUGGAGCCACUAAUCACCCACGCAGUGCAGAGAUGCAUAAUCAAGCAAAUAAAUGACAGAAUGCUUUUUAUUUCAUGUCGACGUGCAAUUUAUGUAUAGUUGACCGGGAAAUUAAAGCAGCGAUCACUUGGACUAUUCCGUAGCACCCCUCUCACAGUGGUACAUCCCUCCAGGUAACCAUUCACAAGUCUUGUACAGUAGAGCGGGACAUUACGUUUACUCUCAGCGAAAUUCACCCGAGAAGGCAUAUAAGUUCCUGCACUGCACUGGCCUUCACCAUGAUUAGUAUAAGGUGGUGAUCCUCAGAGGAGCGAUGAAGUAGAGCAGCCAGCACCCCAAGUAGAGCAGGCACUGUGGAAAAAUAGUUGUGACUCAACCAGACCAUUACAAAGUAUGGCCUGGAGGAUUUUCAUCUUAAGGUGCAAGAACAUUCUUAAUGACUGUACACGGCAGCUGCUGAUGGACGAUGUUGGGCCAGAUGUGCUACAGUUAGCGUUAAGGAGGUUGGAGACAAUGCAGAGAAGCCUUCGGUGGGCAAGAGGAAGACUGAUCAAUGUAACUGCGGCAGAUCAACUUCUGCGUGACUUGGCUGAAUUGAUUCAGGAGGUCGAACUGUCUACUCAGCAUGGCCAACAAGGCUGUUUUGGAUACCAGGCACCAGUGGUUUUCAACAGAGGUAGAGGAAGAUCCCUUUACCGUAUCACUCGGGAACAGCUUUCAUUCCUGAAGUCAUGUGGAUUCACUGCACCUCAGAUGGCUGAUAUUUUGAAUGUUUCACUUCGUACAAUUCGAAGACGUCUGCGACAGUAUCAUUUCACCCGUGCAUCAAUGUAUGCGGAACUGACUGACAGUGCCUUGGAUGAACAUGUGCAGGACAUUGUUGCUGGCAAUGAACAAAUUGGUCCUGAGGCUGUCAGAGCCUGGUACAUGGACUACGUGUACAGCGAAGGAGGGUUCGAGCAAGCAUGUUACGGAUGAAUCCUGGAGCAGCUGCCCUUAUAGCAGUUUUGCAGAGACCAGAACGAAGAACAUAUCAGGUUGCAGGUCCAAACUCAUUGUGGCACAUUGAUGGAAAUCACAAGCUGAUACGGUGGAGGAUAGUCAUUCAUGGGGCUAUUGAUGGAUACAGUCGUCUUGUGGUCUUCCCUCAUGCCUCAAACAACAACCUUAGCAGUACCGUUUUAUCAAGUUUCAUCAGAGCCGUGGUAUCCUAAGGUGUACCCUCGAGGGUCCAGACAGACAGAAGUGGGGAAAACAAUGCUGUCUGCCUGAUGAUGAACAUUUUCAGAGGCUUUGAUCGUGGAAGUGCCCUACGAGGAAGGAGUACCCAUAAUCAGAGAAUUGAGAGGCUCUGAGGUGAUCUGUGGCGAGGAAUGACCAAUGUCUACUGUGAUUUAUUUCACCACCUGGAGGAGGAAGGCAUCAUUGACAUUGACAAUGAAAUGCACCUUUGGGCUCUCCAUUACAUCUAUCUCCCAAGGAUCAACAGAGAUUUGAAAGACUUCACUCAACAGUGGAACAAUCAUGGCUUGCGGACAGAGAGACACUUGAGCCCAUUACAGAUUUUUGUCCGAGGCAGCCUCCAGCAACAGGGCCGAGCCUCAACUGCCAUGCAGGACAUCUUUCAGACUAGAGCAGCUGCUGCUGAUGGGACUAUUGGUGGGACAGCUGAUGGUAGUGUGACAGCCACUGAGAGUGAGCUCACUGCUGCUCAGGGCUUAGGUACUGAUUCUGGUGGUGGUGGUGCUCAUGGUACAGAUGAGCCGGGACUGCUAGUCGACUGGCCUGAGAGGAUUACUGUGCCAGACAUUGAAUUUACUCUGGACGGACUGAUGAUGGAGCAAGUGGUAGAACUAUUUAAUCCACUAACUGGCACCAGAGGGAGUCAUGGUAUUGAACUCAUCACUGGCUUAAUAUACUUUCUGGACUCGACAUAUCACUGAGACAGUUCAAUUAAUGACUGAAACAUAAUAGCAGCAAGUGGAAAGACUUCAACAUAUCUAGGUGACUGGAUAUAUAUAAUGUGAAAAGUUAUAAUACGUGUUUACUAUGUGCCAUUGAGUAGUGGAGAUACAAGAAUGAGCUGUGUGACACUGACAAUAAAAAAUGUUGAGUGAUUUUUAAAGUGUAUAAGAUGGAAGUUGUGAAAUGGAAAGUAUACAACUGAAGCUGAAUCUCGAUAAAGUCAACUUGAUUAAUCUAAAAGUUACAGCUGUUGAUAUUGAUAAAUACAACUAUAAAGCAUUGACAGUAAAUAAUUAAAAAAUUAAAAAACUGUAUAGUAGGUCUUGAAGUGGCUCAGUAUAGUGUAGUAGAUAUAAAGUGGUUUAGCGUGUGUUUGAUGUUGUGACAGUUUACAGCGAGCACAUUAUGUUUUGCUUUGUACAGAUUAUGCUUUGUACAAACAUAGUUCUGAAAAUACUGGACUCCAGUGUAAAAUGUCAAUAA